rnacentral:lncRNA from 1 species
UGGAAGGGUAAUGCAUUCCUGCUAAAUCAUGGACAAAACGGGCUUCCAGGAGCUACAGGCCCCUGCAGCAGCAGCUUCUCCUCUACGUCCUUCACUGCCUCAAACUGUUGUUGACUUUGAAAGCUUCUUUCAGUCUAGUUUUAUCAACAGAGCUAGUAUUUCAUGAGGUUCUACUACAUACCAGGUUCCAGAAAGCUAAAUGCCUUUUGUUAUUAUUCACUAAAUACAAAUCACAACUCUCUCCUCAUUACUCACACAACAAAAUUUAGCUGAGGGAGAUUGAGUGACUUUCCCAGGGUCACAUAGCUACUAAGAGCAGAGUCGUGUUUAGAUUCAUGUGGGAAUAUUGAACACAGAAAUGAACCAGUGGAAACAUCCUAUGUUCCAAAAGCCUACUCAAGGCAUUUCUUCUUAUUUUAAGGAAAAUCUUUAUGCUAAUUUUAAACUCCAAAUACUUAUGAAUGGCAGAGAUCUACAGAUUUGAUUCUGAUGUAAGAAAUGAUGGUCACCAGCUGGUUACUGCUACCACCCCACAACCCCGAGCAUACUGGACGAAUGUCUAAGCCUUGUGGUUAGUGGGGACAAUGCUGGUGGAGUCUGAAGUUGUCAUGCAGUGACUCAUGCAAGCUUAGGCAGAUUUGGUAAUAUAUGACACAGAGAUGCAAAGAAAUGUUGUAGCUGACACACACAGGCUGGCUCUGGGAGAUGCAGAAGGAGCACGUCACCCAAAAUAGAGCCAGACAAGACAUCCUUAAGGAAGGAGCAAAAGGGCUGCAUCUUAAAGAAUGUAGAAAGGAUUUGUCAUGAGAGAUGGGGCAGGAAGUUCUUGAGAGGCAGAGGGAGAGCAUGAGAAUGUUAGGAAGGGAGGAGAGAUUCUCACACAUCUGGGAAGCUGACAAUCCAUCAGCAUGGCCAGAAGGAAAAUAAGGAGGAGGAGCAGAAAUAGAUGAGGCUGGAUAUAGAAGCAGGGCUGAAGCUGUGUCGAUUGUGGUAAAGAGUUGUGAUUCUAUCCAGAACGCAAUAGGUAGCAUUCUAAACAGAGAUCUUUUCAAACAAGAGUCAGCAAGUAUUUUCUGCAGGAGGCUAAAUGUUAAAUAUUUUAAGUUUUCCAAGCCAUAUGGUCUCUCUCUCAAUGACUCAGCUCUUCCAUUAUACCAUGAAAGUAGCCAGAGACAUUAUGUAACACAUGUAUUGGCUGUGUCCUAUUACAACUUUACUUACAAACGCAGACUGUGUCAGACAUGGUCCAUGCAUGGUAGUUUGCCACACCCUGUUUUAGAAAGCUCAGGUUUAUGAUGUGAUGGAGAAUGCCUACAAGAGCUCUUGUUUUAAAUGGUAGAGUGAACAUACACUGGAAUUCUAUCCUGCUUGACCCAAGCUCUUGAUAGCAAAAGGUAGAAAAGAUAGAUGGUAAAUAGAUAGAUAGAUGAUAGAUAAAGAAAAUACAUAGCUGUUCCAGAAAACAGAAAUGGAUAACUUCAUGAACCAAAAGCAGAGUAAUAUACUUUAGAAAGGAAGCGGGCCAGAAAACCCACAGUUGCAAAACAAAUAGAAUUUCCAACUGCCUCUUGUAGCCCCUUCCUGGAAGUAGUCACAGCCCAGGGUGUUUGACUUCUUCCUCUGUUUUUUGUUUGUUUGUUGUUUGCUUUUCUGUGGGGUUUUUGUUGUUGUUGUUUGCUUUUAAAAAAAAAUUCCCUUUCCCUGCUUUUUUGUCACAGCAGCCUUUGUCACUUCAAACACCGCAAGUGUUCUUUAAAAAAAAUUAUAUCAACCUUUCAAUUAAAAUGCAACAUGUCUGAAACUUGGUAUCUGGAGAGGUGAGUUGGACAAAGGAGCCCUUGUUACUGCACGUUUUCAUUCUUCAAAUUUCACCUUGCACACAGUAACAGACAGUGCACAAAGCCACUUCCUUAUGGACGGAAAUUCUGAAAUCCUUUUAUGCCUGGCCUUUCCAUCCUUCAACUUCCCCUCUCCCACGCUGUGAAUGAUUGUAUUGGACAUUUUUGUUUUAAUGUCAGUGACAGGGGAACACAGGUAGCUCUAAUAUAGCU